rnacentral:lncRNA from 1 species
AGAAACACUGGUGCUCCUUGUUUAGUUCAGCAUGAAGAAGAAUGCAUGUUGGCCACUGUGGCUUCCUCCCAAACUGACCGUGUGGGUCCAGACUGAAUGUCACCAUGAAAUAAAAAAAUCAGAAAAUGCUGAUUAGAUUUUUACACAAACAGAUCAAAAACUUCAAUGAAUUACUUAGCUUUUGUCUUUGAAUGCCAAGAGUUGCCCAGAGAGGUGGUGGAAGCCCCAUCCCUGGAGACAUUCAAGGUCAGGCUGGCCAGGGCUUUGGGCAGCCUGAUCUAUCUGUAGGUUUUCCUGUUCGUUGCAGGGGAGUUGGACCAGAUGUCCUUUAAGGGUCCCUUCCAACUCAAACAAUUCUAUGGUUCUAUGAUUCUAUGCUGUAGAUAAGAAAGCUAAUGUGUAGUAGUACAUCCUCAACACCUUAGUGGUGUCAUUCAGCAUAUAGAUAAAUAUAUAUGUUUGAAUUCUCUGAGUUCUUGUUUCUUUUCCUCCCCCAAGGCGCUUAGCCCCUGCAAGACAAAUGUAGAAGAAAAAUCAAAUGUUAUUGUUGCUGCCUGAGAUAGCAUCAUAUAGAUUUACAUCAAUGACAAUGUCUAAAAAACUUCGUUUUCUAUCACCAAGUCGUGGUUGCUGAUAUUUCAAAUGAGCCAGAAAUACUUUCGAGUUUCAUCCUCCUGCAUUGUCACACGUUCCCCUGCUGGGCUGAAUGGGCAAAAACUUGGUUUGUGAAGAGGCUGGAGAAACUUUGACAUGAAGCUUUUAAAGAGAAUACUUAAGGAGACGUCAAUCAUCAGCACAUGCACCAGAGACUUCCAGGACCAUCUUCUCCUUCUGGCUUUCUUCCUAAGAUCACUCAAAAAUAAGCACGAAGUCAUGAGCCAUGCUUUGCUUUUCUUCAGUACCAUGGAAUAUGCAGCUGAGCUGUUUUACUUCACCUGGAAUGCUGCACGAGAAUGAUCAUCAGACUCCGCCUCCUGGUGUUACAGGUACCCACAUUUUCUUAUCCCUGUGAGAAACUGAUUGAAAUCUGCCCCAAAACUACAUUGCUUUUCUUGUUUGCUGAGGGCUCCAGGGUUUCA